CUGUACAAGAAACAUGGCACCAACAUCUGCAUCUGGUGUGGACCUCAGGCUACUUCCAUUCAUGGCGGAAGGUGAAAGGGAGCUGGUGUUGCGGAGAUCACAUAGAAAGAGAGGAGGAAAGAGAGAGAGGGAUAAGAAGAUCAAACUCUCCCAAAAAGUAGAGAUUAAACAACAACUAAAGAUGGCGAAUCAUAGAAGUUACCACCAUUCCUGGUAUUGGUCCCAGUUCUUCUAAGAAUAUUUUUGAUGCAAGAGCUGUUUUAUCUUGAAUCCUACAUAGCUUAUUUUCCAUUUUUCCAUUCAAAUAAAACAACAAGAGAACAAUAGAGUGAAGAAAAAGGAUGUUUAAGCCUAAAUCCAAGACUGAGGUACAAGACCAAGAAAAGUGGGGCAGAAGAUGGAAAAGAACAAGUGAAGAAUCUUGGAAACAAUUCAAAGAUGUGAUCGAGUACACUCAGGUGGUAUGGCCAUGGACUCUAAAAGUUUUUAAAAGUCUUCAAAACUUUUAUGCAAAAUAUGCAUAAUGAGCUUAAUAAGCAACUUUUCUACCUUAGGGUAUAAAGGUAAAACUUUUUUCUAAGUGACUUCAACUCUGUUUUAUCAAAUCCCCCUGACUCAUCUCUUAAUGAUACCUCAGGAAAAUCCCAUAGAUUUUCAGUCACAUUCAGUUAUUUAAAAUUCAGCCUAGUUUGAUGUACUUUUUAUUUUUUUA
rnacentral:lncRNA from 1 species